rnacentral:piRNA from 1 species
UCCCAGCCAAACAACUAUCACUCUCCAUGUC